rnacentral:tRNA from 3 species
GGUUCGGUAGCUCAGUUGGUAGAGCGUUGGAUUGAAGCUCCAUGCGUCGGCGGUUCAAGUCCGUCUCGAACCA